AAUUAUGGUGGACUGGACAGGCUGAUUUCGGUCAGGCCGUUUCCUUGAGUGCGGUAGUUCCUAACCUCGUUCAGUUCACCACUCGA
rfam:Vibrio sp. MEBiC08052 genomic scaffold scaffold00002, whole genome shotgun sequence.